GUGAGAUUGUGAGAGGAGGGCCUGCCUUGGAGAAGAAAUUAUGUGAGUGUGUGCAAAAUUCUGUAUCUGAUCAAGGGGGGUCAAAUGCGUCCUGUGAAAAUGUAUGGGAAAAGCCUUCCAGCGAGAGGGGGCUGAAUGAAUAUAUGUGCCAAUAUGUGCCUGAAGCAGAUGUAUGUGAUGUGGUGGGUGAAAAUGUGAAGGGACAGCGAGGCUAUGAGGGAGGGCAGAGGGUGUGUGAGCUUUACUCUGAGCCAGACUUAGCCAGUUUCCAAAGUUCGGUAUGUGUGAUGACCUGGAGUGAAAGUGAGGGGCACGGACAGACUCAGCCUGUGGGUCCAGGAAGGAUGGCUGCAGGGAAACAUACUGUUGGAGGAACCAGGAACCUUGUCAGUUUAUCACAACUCACGCAUACACCUAAGCAACCUUCUGAUUGUGAACCAAAGGUUCAGAGUCUGAUAGUGCAACAAGCCCAGCAGACAGACCGCAAAAUGAAAGAGAUGAUGGAUGUUGAUACAGCACAUCUAUCCUGG